GCCCGUGUAGCUCAGCUGGGAGAGCGCCGCCUUCACACGGCGGAGGUUCGGCGGUUCGAGACCGUCCGCGGGCA
rnacentral:tRNA from 1 species